rnacentral:rRNA from 1 species
AGCGAACGCUGGCGGCAGGCCUAACACAUGCAAGUCGAACGGACCCUUCGGGGUUAGUGGCGGACGGGUGAGUAACACGUGGGAACGUGCCCUUUGGUUCGGAAUAAGCUCGGGAAACUGGGUCUAAUACCGAAUGUGCCCUUCGGGGGAAAGAUUUAUCGCCAAAGGAGCGGCCCGCGUCUGAUUAGCUAGUUGGUGGUGUAAAGGACCACCAAGGCGACGAUCAGUAGCUGGUCUGGGAGGAUGAUCAGCCACACUGGGACUGAGACACGGCCCAGACUCCUACGGGAGGCAGCAGUGGGGAAUCUUGCGCAAUGGGCGAAAGCCUGACGCAGCCAUGCCGCGUGAAUGAUGAAGGUCUUAGGAUUGUAAAAUUCUUUCACCGGGGACGAUAAUGACGGUACCCGGAGAAGAAGCCCCGGCUAACUUCGUGCCAGCCGCCGCAGUAAGAC